rnacentral:lncRNA from 1 species
GCACACAGGCAUGUCUGCAAUGGCUCGUGAGACAACAAUCAAGUCCUGCCCUUUUAAUCACUCAUCCAGUCCACCUGAAUGUUUACGUAUGUGAAGAAUAAAGGUGAACUAAUAGAGACAUACAAUUUUAUCCCAUUAUCAAGAAGUAGUGCAACCAGCGGAGUGUUUGUCUGAAUACAGAAAGUCUGGAGCGGAUCCAUCUGAAAAGACAGGUAUUUAAAAUUCGAAACUAACCAGGUGGAAGUUGGAGUUCAGUGAACAGUUGCUAAAUAUCUGAACAAGGAAUCUUCAAACAGUUAAGAGAGCACCUACUGUUCACAGGACGAGAAGCAUUCCUGCUGCCAAAGGAAGGAGUUCGUGUCAGACUACAUGGACCAACAGUGACACCCAGUGGCCCAUGGGUUUGCCAUGGCGAUGCAUAUACCAAAGCUACAUUUCCCUGCCCUUUUAUCUGUUCUGGUUUCUGCAUGAAAGGCAUAGUUCUUAAGCAAGCCUGGUUUAAUAAUACUAAGCCAAACAUUUUUUCCUCUUAUUAAUUUUUUGUAAUGUUAUGAAUAGUAUGCAGCACAUGGUGUUGGCAAAUAUCAGUUUUACAUAGUUUUUAAACAGACU